rnacentral:rRNA from 1 species
GUGACCCCAGGUCAAGCGGGAUUACCUGGUGAGUUUAACCAUAUCAAUAAGCGGAGCAAAAUAAACUUACAAAGAUUAACUUAGUAACGACGAGUGAAUCGGGAACAGCCCAGCCUUAGAAUCCGCUGGCUCCGUCAUCCAAAUUGUAGUUUGGAGAAGCAUCCUCAGAGGCGGACCUAGCCCAUGUCCCCUGAAAGGGGGCACCAGAGAGGGUGAGAGCCCCAUUGUUCUCGAAUCUUAUCGUACCACGAGGCACUGUCUACGAGUUAGGUUAUUUAGGAAUGCAGCCCAAAUCGGGCCUUGAAUUCCUUCUAAGGCUAAAUAUGGGCGACGGACCAAUAGUAAUAAAGUAACGUAAGGGAAAUAUUAAAAGGACUUUUUAAAUAGAGUCAAAGAGUGAUUGAAAUUAUCGUGAGGGAAGCGAAUGGGGGCCGGCAAUAUGCCACAGUCGAAUGUGGAAAGGAGACAAGCCGGUCAGCCGAUUGACCCGGGGCAUGGACCAACGUUGAUUGGGGGAGGUCAAAGCUCGGGCUCUCAAUACAAUCGUUGAAUGCCUUCUCCUCAAUUGUGGAAGGCAGUGCGCGCCUCCGGCGUGCUUCAACAUCUAUGCGCUACGGAUGCUGGCUUGUGGACUCCUUAUUCGACCCAUCUUAAAAAACGGUCUAAGGAGUUUGAUAUGUGUGCGAGUCAACGAGCGAGUAAACUCGUAAGGCGUAAGAAAGUUGAUUGGUGGUAUCCCCUCGAUGGGUUCACCGUCGACCGACCCUUAUAUUUUGAGAAGGGUUCGAGUGUGAGUAUACCUAUUGGGACCCAAAAGAUGAACUAUGCCUGGGCGGGGUGAAGCCAAAGGAAACUCUAGUAGAGGCCCGCAGCAAUAAUGAUGUGUAAAUCGUUCAUCUGACUUGGGUGUAGGGACUGCGGCUACAUUAUCGAGCCGUGCCAUUGAAUCAAGAGCUCUAUGUGGGCCAUUUUUUGUAAGUAGAAAUGGCGAUGUAGGAUGAACUGGAAGCCGGGUUAAGCGCCAAAUAAACUAGCCCCGAAAAUAGAUAGCACUUAAGCGCGCGACCUAUACCCGAUCAUCGGGGAAAGUCCCAAGCCCCGAUGAGUAGGAAGGUGUUGCAGUCGCUGCAAAAUCUUAGGCGCGAGCCUGGGUAGAGUGGCCGUUGGUGGUAGUUGCAAAUUUUCAAAUGAGAACUUUGAAGGCCGAAGAGGGGAAACGUUCCAUGUGAACGACACUUGCACAUAGGUUAGUCGAUCCUAAGGGUUGGGGGAACCCCGACAGAUAGCACAUUUCAUGAGUACUCCAAAAGAUAAUCGGGUUAAAAUUCCUGACCGGGACGUAGCGGUCGACGGAAACGUUAGGAAGUGUAGAGAUGUCGGGAAGAGCCUCUGGAAGAGUUAUCUUUUCUAUUUAACAGCCUGCCUACCCUGGAAUCGGCUUAGCUGGAGGUAGGGUCCAGCGGCUGGAAUAGCACCGCACGUCAUGUGGUGUUUGGUGUACUACCGGUGGCACUUGAAAAUCAAGAGAACCGAAUGCCGUCCAUGCCCGGUCGUACUCAUACCUACAUAAGGUCUCCAAAGGGAACAACCUCUGGUCGAUGGAACAAUGUAGGCAAGGGAAGUCAGUAAAAUGGAUCCGUAACUUUUGGAAAAGGAUUGGCACUGAGGGUUGGGCACGGGAUCCCAGUCCCAAACCUGUCGGCUGUCGGUGGACUACUAGAGCUGCUCCCGCAGCAAGAUCGGGUCACCGCAAGCCGAUCGAGGGAUGGACUGGGAACGGUUCCUUCAGGGGUCUUCCCCGUGCGUCAAGCAACCAACUCAGAACUGGUACGGACAAGGGGAAUCUGACUGUUUAAUUAAAACAAAGAAUUGCGAAUUGUCAUUUCUGCCUAGUGCUCUAAAUGCAAAAGUGAAGAAUUUCAACCAAGCUCGGGUAAACGGCGGGAGUAACUAUGAAUCUCUCAAGGUAGCCAAAUUCCUCGUCAUAUAAUUAGUGAUGACAUAAAUAGAUUAAAGAGAUUCCCGCUAUGCUUGUCUACUAUCCAGCGAAACCACAACCAAGGGAAUGGGCUUGGCAGAAUCAGCGGGGAAAGAAGACCCUCUUGAGCUUGACUCUACUCCGACUUUGUAAAGUGACUUGAGAGGUGUAGUAUAAGUGGGAACCAAAAGGAGAAAGUGAAAUACCACUACUUUUAACGUUAUUUUAUUUAUUUUGUGAUCAGAAGUGGGGCACUACCCUCUUUUUAGACCCAAGGCUCGCUCUGUGGGCCGAUCUGUGCGGAAGACAUUGUUUAGGUGGGGUUAUUUGGCUGGGGUGGCACAUCUGUUAAAAGAUAAUGCAGGUGUACUGAGAUGAGCUCAAUGAGAACAGAAAUAUCGUGUGGAAUAGAAGGGUAAAAGCUAGUUCAAUUCUGAUUUCCAGUACGAAUACGAACCAUGAAAGCCUAGCCUAACGAUCCUUUAGACAUUCGGAAUUCAAAGCUAGAGGUGUCAGAAAAGUGUUACCACAGGGAUAACUAGCCCGUUGCAGCCAAGCAUUCAUAGCAACGUUGCUUUUUCGUCCUUAGAUGUCGGCUCUUCCUAUCAUUGUGAAACAGAAUUCACCAAGUGUUGAACUGUUCACCCACCAAUAGGGAAUGUGAGAUGGGUUUAGACCAUCGUGAGACAGGUUAGUUUUACCCUACUUAUGACAGUAUCACAGUAGUAAUUAAACCUAGUGUAAGAGAAAAUGUUGAUUCACAUAAUUUGUCAUCGCGCUUUGUUGAAAAGCUAUUGGCGUAAAGCUACCGUGUGCUGGAUUAUGAGUGAACGCCUCUAAGUCAGAAUCUGGGCUGGAAGCGACGCAUGCGCCCGCUGUCCGUUGGCCGACCCACUGUAGGGUCCUCGUCCCCCAAGGAAACGUGUCGUUUCCUAAGCCACUGCGGGGGAAGAGUCGUGGUGGCCGCCUAGAUGUAUAAUUUCCAUCGAGCGGAGGGUAGAAUCCUUUGCAGAUAACCUAAAUAUGCGACGGGGUAUUGUAAGUGGAAGAGUGGCCUUGCUGCCACGAUCCACUGAGAUUCAUCCCUUUGUUACUCUGCUUCAU